AUUUCCGCCCCCUGCUCCAUCUACACGUCCGCCCUCUCCACCCGAUCCACUUGAUCCACCAAAGAUAUUCCCGCAUGCUGAACCUGCUCCGCCGUUGGCAUUUCCUGGCGGAUAUACCAGAUUUCCUCCAGGCUGGCCGCCAUGGCCAGGUCCAUAGCCGCCUGCGCCGGGGCCGUACCCGCCUCCGCCGGGGCCGUACCCACCUCCGCCGGGGCCGUACCAGCCUCCACCGGGGCCGUACCCACCUCCACUAGGGCCGUACCAGCCUCCACCUGGGCCGUACCCGCCUCCGCCUCCAACAGGACCGUACCCGCCUCCACCAGGGCCAUACCCGCCUCCACCAGGGCCGUACCCGCCUCCGCCGGGAUAGCCGUGCUCAGACAUUUUGAUGACCCUCACUUAAGGAAAUAUUGCCCUGCAAAGGUGUGUUGCCAGCUGAGAUGGUGUGCGGUGAUCGAAAGCAGGGAACACGGGGAUUUAUAUAGGAAAAUAUUUGACCGGGUGACCAAGGAGUCUCGUGGAGGAGGACCAGUGACUUGGAGUGUACUGCCACGCGGCGACUGACUGGCAUCGUCCUAAGGAGUUAAUGUUCCCCGCGUUUCAGCCACUAUCCAUUAUCGCGUGCGCGUCGGCCAUUUUUCGUUUUCUUGUACAGACUUAGCGCGUGUAUUAAACUGAAUUUGGACCAUUUUAUCAAGUGGGAUUGACAUGGAGGCCUUCAAUUUUCUACGGCUCGAAUUCGGUUUCGUACCGUCCGGAGGUGAAAAUCAUGCCUUGAAUUCAAGGCCCAUUUGAGGAAUAAGAAGUUCACUGAGCAAAACAUAAAUGAUUUGGGCGUGGCUCCUGCUACCUAUUUGUCCGCAAAUACAAUAAUAAGAGAGGAAGAAGACAUUGCUCAACCAAUGUCAAGAAGGUCCUGUCCAAUCUUCAUUAGCUUUUGCACCUAAAUUUUCUACCAAGUCUUUCCAAUUCAGUACGCGUUUCCAAAUUAAGUGUUUGGUUUGCAUGUAUAUUCCACAUCGAAGGAUUGGGAUACGAAGUCUAACUCUAGUCCCUAAAACAACCCGUUCUAGAUCCCCACCACAAAAACUUUGGAUGUGAUUGCUUGAGGAAAACUGAAGUUCAUAUAAUACAUCACACAUCCAAUUCCUUACUAAUAGACAUAUAAGCGUUUGUUCCUUCGUAGAACGACACGUGCUAUUCUUCUUUGUUUAUCCACUCUCUCCUUUUUUUUUUCUUGAGCAAAACUAAAGUUCAUUUAAUACAUUACGCAUCCAAUUCCUUGCCGAUAGACAGAUAAGGGUUCAUUCCUUUGUAAAAACUACGCGUGCUAUUCUUCUUCCUUUGUCCACUUUCUCUUUUUUUCCUUUUUUAUUUUCUUUUUUGUGAAAAUGCUUCUUAUUUAGGAAAUUAUCAGCAUGAGACUUUAAAAAAAAAAUAGAUUAUUCAAAUUUGAAUCUUAAAAGUGGUAAAAGGAUCCAAUGUCUCAAAUUUGCUUGAGUCAUUAGUAAAACAGAAAAAGAAAAAAAAAUUGAUCACUAGCAAUGCACCUUUUCUUCCUUAUCUGGGAUAGCUAUGCGGAUUGCAUCUCCCAACCAUUUACUUAUAAAAAAAUAAAGAAUCUUUCUUUUUUUCUUCCACUAUUUAGAUUAUGUCAAAUCCGCUUUUCAAAAGGAGAGAGGCAACAAACUCUUCUGAAUGAUAGAGACACGUUUAAGAUCAUCGUUGAUUUGUGGAGAAAAUAUAUGGAUGUGAUUGCUUGAGAAAAAGUGAAGUUCAUUCAAUACAUCUCGUAUCCAAUUCCUUGCCGAUAGAUAGAUAACGGUUCAUUCCUUCAUAAAAACGACACAUGCUAUUCUUCUUCCAUUAUCCACUCUCUUUUUUCUAUUUUCUUUUUCUUUUCUUUUUUGUGAAAAUGCUCCUUAAUUUAGGAAAUUAUUAGCUUGAGACCGAUCAAAUUGUUUUCAGAUUAUUCGAAUUUGAAUCUUCCAAGUGGUAAAAGGAUCCAAUGUCUCAAAUUUGCUUGAGUCAUUAGUAAAACAGGAAAAAAAAAAUUGAUCACUGACCAUGCACCUUUUCUUCCUCAUUCGGGAUAGUUAUGCAGAUUGCAUCUCCCAUCCAUUUUACUCAUGACAAAAGAAAGAAUAUUUCUCUUUUUCUUUCACUAUUUGGAUUAUGCCAAAUCAGCUUUUCAAAAGGAGAGAGGCAACGCACUUUUCUGAACGAUAGAGACACGUUUGAGAUUAUUGUUGAUUUGUGGAGAAAACAAAUGGAUGUGAUUGCUUGAGGAAAACUAAAGUUCAUUUAAUACAUUACGCAUCCAAUUCCUUGCCGAUAGAUAGAUAAGGGUUCAUUCCUUUGUAAAAACGACUAGUGCUAGUCUUCUUCCUUUAUCCAUUCUCUUUUUUUUUUUUCCUUUUUUUUCUUUUUUGUAAAAAUGCUUCUUAUUUAGGAAAUUAUCAGCAUGAGACUUUAAAAAAAAAUAGAUUAUUCAAAUUUGAAUCUUAAAAGUGGUAAAAGGAUCCAAUGUCUCAAAUUUGCUUGAGUCAUUAGUAAAACAGAAAAAGAAGAAAAAAUUUUGAUCACUGACCAUGCACCUUUUCUUCCUUAUGUGGGAUAAUUAUGAGGAUUGCAUCUCCCAUCCAUUUUACUUAUAAAAAAAUAAAGAAUCUUUCUUUUUUUUCUUUCACUAUUUGGAUUAUGUCAAAUCAGCUUUUCAAAAGGAGAGAGGCAACCAACUCUUCUGAACGAUGGAGACACGUGGAGCACCAGUGAGUCAAAAGGUGAUUGAAGGUGGGGAGAUAUGGGGAUUUAUAUAGGAAAAUAUCUGACUGGGCGUCCAGGGAGUCACGUGGAGGACCAGUGGCUUGGAGUGUACUGCCACACGGCGACUGAUUGGUAUCCUCCCAAGGAGUUAACGUUCCCCGCGUUUCAGCCUCUAUCCCUUAUCGCAUCCGCGUCCGCUAUUUUUCGUUCUCAUGUACAAACGCGUGUAUUAAACUGAAUUUGGACUGUUCUAUCAAGUGGGAUUGACAUGGAGGCCAUCAAUUUUCUACGGCUCGAAUUCGGUUUUGUACCGUCCGGAGGUGAAAAUCGAGUCUUGAAUUCAAGGCCCAUUUGAGGAAUAAGAAGAAGUUCACUGAACAAAACAUAAAUGAUUUGGGAGUGGCUCCUUUUACCUAUUUGUCCGCAAAUACAAUAAUAAGACAGGAAGAAGACAUUGCUCAACCAAUGUCAAGAAGGUCCGUUGAUAACGAUGCUUGUGAAGAAUCAUGCUUCUUUGAACCUUCAAUUGGAAUUCUGUUUCUUUCAUUUGUAACCUGUUUAUGGAAUUAGGUUCAAGAACAUCUCAUGCACAAAGCUAUAGAUAAUAUUAGGAAUAUCGAAAUUCAUUAGGAUGCUUGCAAGCUCAAGUACAUGACUGACUCCACUUGGUGCUUAUUAGUUUGUUGUCCUUUAUUUUUUUCCCUCGAAUAUAAGAUAGUUAUAAGGCACCAGAGUCAAUUUACAUCACAUAUCAAAGGACUCUACUCCCCCACGACCAGCAAGCGGUGACGGACUAGCCUCAACGCACGGUGUAGCCGCCCCCAUAACCAGACCCCCCUGCUGCAUUUACAUGUCCGCCCGCUCCGCCCGAUCCACUUGAUCCACCAAAGAUACUCCAGCGUGCUGAACCUGCUCCGCCAUUGGCAUUUCAGGCCUGUCCACCUGAUCCACCAGUGCCUUGCGCAUAUACCACAUUUCCUCCAGGCUGGCCGCCAUGGUCAGGUCCAUAGCCGCCUCUGCCGGGGCCGUACCCACCUCCGCUGGGGCCGUACCCACCUCCACCUGGGCCGUACCCGCCUCCGCCUCAAACAGGGCCGUACCCGCCUCCGCUGGGAUAGCCGCGCUCAGACAUUUUGGUGUCCCUCACUUAAGGAAAUAUUGCCCUGCAAAGGUGUGUUGCCAGCUGAGAUGGUGUGCGGUGAUCGAAAGCAGGGAACACGGGGAUUUAUAUAGGAAAAUAUUUGACCGGGUGACCAAGGAGUCUCGUGGAGGAGGACCAGUGGCUUGGAGUGUACUGCCACGCGGCGAUUGACUGGCAUCGUCCUAAGGAGUUAAUGUUCCCCGCGUUUCAGCCACUAUCCAUUAUCGCGUGCGCGUCGGCCAUUUUUCGUUUUCUUGUACAGACUUAGCGCGUGUAUUAAACUGAAUUUGGACCAUUUUAUCAAGUGGGAUUGACAUGGAGG
rnacentral:lncRNA from 1 species